GUCGUAGUGCAAUGGAUAGCGUUUUAGACUUCUAAUCCAAAGGUCGUGGGUUCGAGUCCCACCUGAAAUA